rnacentral:rRNA from 1 species
CGUGGGUAACCUGCCCAAGAGACUGGGAUAACACCUGGAAACAGAUGCUAAUACCGGAUAACAACACUAGACGCAUGUCUAGAGUUUAAAAGAUGGUUCUGCUAUCACUCUUGGAUGGACCUGCGGUGCAUUAGCUAGUUGGUAAGGUAACGGCUUACAAAGGCAAUGAUGCAUAGCCGAGUUGAGAGACUGAUCGGCCACAUUGGGACUGAGACACGGUCCAAACUCCUACGGGAGGCAGCAGAC